rnacentral:rRNA from 1 species
UACGGGGGGAGCAAGCGUUGUUCGGAUUUACUGGGCGUAAAGGGCGUGUAGGCGGCCACCGCAAGUCAGUUGUGAAAGCUCUGGGCUUAACCCAGAAAGGUCAGCUGAUACUGCGGGGCUAGAGUGCAGAAGGGGCAACUGGAAUUCUCGGUGUAGCGGUGAAAUGCGUAGAUAUGCGGAGGAACACCGAUGGCGAAGGCAAUCCCCUGGGCCUGCACUGACGCUCAUGCACGAAAGCGUGGGGAGCAAACAGG